rnacentral:rRNA from 1 species
GACGAACGCUGGCGGCGUGCUUAACACAUGCAAGUCGAACGGAAAGGCCCUGCUUUUGUGGGGUGCUCGAGUGUCUAACGUGUGAGUAACACGUGAGUAACCUUCCCUUGACUUUGGGAUAACUUCAGGAAACUGGUGCUAAUACCGGAUAGGUGCUCCUGCUGCAUGGUGGGGGUUGGAAAGUUUCGGCGGUUGGGGAUGGACUCGCGGCUUAUCAGCUUGUUGGUGGGGUAGUGGCUUACCAAGGCUUUGACGGGUAGCCGGCCUGAGAGGGUGACCGGCCACAUUGGGACUGAGAUACGGCCCAGACUCCUACGGGAGGGAGCAGUGGGGAAUAUUGCACAAUGGGCGGAAGCCUGAUGCAGCAACGCCGCGUGCGGGAUGACGGCCUUCGGGUUGUAAACCGCUUUCGCCUGUGAAGAAGAGUGAGUGACGGUAAUGGGUAAAGAAGCACCGGCUAACUACGUG